rnacentral:rRNA from 1 species
GACGAACGCUGGCGGCGUGCCUAAUACAUGCAAGUCGAACGAGAGCGCCCGGUGCUUGCACUGGUCAAUCUAGUGGCGAACGGGUGAGUAACACGUGGGUAACCUGCCCAUCAGAGGGGGAUAACAUCCGGAAACGGAUGCUAAAACCGCAUAGGUCUUCGAGCCGCAUGGCUUGAAGAGGAAAAGAGGCGCAAGCUUCUGCUGAUGGAUGGACCCGCGGUGCAUUAGCUAGUUGGUGAGGUAACGGCUCACCAAGGCCGUGAUGCAUAGCCGACCUGAGGGGGUGAUCGGCCACAUUGGGACUGAGACACGGCCCAAACUCCUACGGGAGGCAGCAGUAGGGAAUCUUCCGCAAUGGACGCAAGUCUGACGGAGCAACGCCGCGUGAGUGAAGAAGGUUUUCGGAUCGUAAAACUCUGUUGUUAGAGAAGAACAAGUGCUAGAGUAACUGUUAGCGCCUUGACGGUAUCUAACCAGAAAGCCACGGCUAACUACGUG